rnacentral:rRNA from 1 species
CACGUAGGGGGCAAGCGUUGUCCGGAUUUAUUGGGCGUAAAGAGCUCGUAGGUGGUUCGAUAAGUCGGGUGUGAAACCUCCAGGCUCAACCUGGAGACGCCACCCGAUAAUGUCGUGACUAGAGUCCAGUAGGGGAGCGUGGAAUUCCUGGUGUAGCGGUGAAAUGCGCAGAUAUCAGGAGGAACACCAGCGGCGAAGGCGGCGCUCUGGGCUGGCACUGACACUGAGGAGCGAAAGCGUGGGGAGCGAACAGG